rnacentral:tRNA from 1 species
GGUUCCAUAGUGUACCGGUUAGCACAUCUGCUUUACACACAGAAGGUCCUGGGUUCACAUAGCAGUGAAGCCA